UGAGAAGUGGAAAACCUAUUGUAUUGAGAGGAAUAAAGUGACUAAACAAAACAGAAAAAAGAAACAAAUAUAUUAUAGAAAUAAGAUAGAGAAUAACAAACAUGAUGGCAAACAACUUUGGAAUACCUUGAACGAGUUAAUGUGUAGGAGCAAAACCAAUUUACCAUCAUUUAUAGAAGUAGACGGUGGAUUUCUGACAAAAGGAAAGGAUAUUGCAAAUCAUUUUAGUACAUAUUAUGGUGAUAAAAUUGACAAUCUGAGACAAGACACUACAAAUUCAGGGUAUUUUUGUACUUCAUCCAAAAUAAUCAAAGAUUUAAUUAUUAAAAACAAAAAUUGUAAUUUCACAUUUAAUAUGUUAAGUUCAGCAGAAGUUGAAAAGUCUCUUUUCACGUUAGAUGUCAACAAACCAUCAGGAAUUGAUGAGGUGGAUGGUCGAUUGCUUAAACUUGCUGCAAACACAAUAGCUUUUCCAGUCUGUCACAUUUUCAACCUAAGCUUAGAGCAGGGAAUUUUUCCUCAAAUGUGGAAAUCGGCCAAAAUACUUCCACUCUCAAAAAGUAGAAAUGUCAGUCUAACUGCUGUUAACAGUAGACCAAUUAGCAUUCUUCCGAUACUCAGUAAAUUGUUGGAAAGAGUUGUUUUUAAACAGAUUUUAAAUUAUUUAAAUAUAAAUGAGAUACAUUUUGGAUCUCAGCAUGCAUACAGGGAAAAUCACUCGACAUGUACAGCACUUACAGAAAUGACAGAUAAUUGGUUGUCUUAUAUUGAUAAGAAGUUGAUGGUGGGUGCAGUAUUCCUAGAUUUCAGUGCAGCUUUUGAUUUGGUGGAUCAUAAACUGCUACUUGAAAAAUUAUCUGCAUAUAGAUUUGAUGCUACACCACUGAAAUGGAUGAAUAGUUACUUAACUUGUAGAUCACAAUCAGUAUUUUUUAAUGGAAGCUUUUCUGCGCCUAAACAUCUGCAGUGUGGUGUACCUCAAGGCAGUUGUUUGGGACCACUGCUUUUUUCAAUUUUCAUUAAUGAUAUGCAGUACGGCCUUAAAAGGUGCAGCGCAACUCUCUAUGCAGAUGACGCCAC
rnacentral:lncRNA from 1 species